CGUGUAGGCGGCUAAGUAAGUCUGGAGUGAAAGUCCUGCUUUUAAGGUGGGAAUUGCUUUGGAUACUGCAUAGCUAGAGUGCAGGAGAGGUAAGUGGAAUUCCCAGUGUAGCGGUGAAAUGCGUAGAGAUUGGGAGGAACACCAGUGGCGAAGGCGACUUACUGGACUGUAACUGACGCUGAGGCGCGAAAGUGUGGGGAGCAAACA
rnacentral:rRNA from 1 species